rnacentral:rRNA from 1 species
AACGAACGCUGGCGGCAUGCCUAACACAUGCAAGUCGAACGAGACCUUCGGGUCUAGUGGCGCACGGGUGCGUAACACGUGGGAAUCUGCCCUUUGCUUCGGAAUAACAGUUAGAAAUGACUGCUAAUACCGGAUGAUGUCGAAAGACCAAAGAUUUAUCGGCAAAGGAUGAGCCCGCGUAGGAUUAGGUAGUUGGUGGGGUAAAGGCCUACCAAGCCGACGAUCCUUAGCUGGUCUGAGAGGAUGAUCAGCCACACUGGGGCUGAGACACGGCCCAGACUCCUACGGGAGGAAGCAGUGGGGAAUAUUGGACAAUGGGCGAAAGCCUGAGCCAGCAAUGCCGCGUGAGUGAUGAAGGCCUUAGGGUUGUAAAGCUCUUUUACCAGGGAUGAUAAUGACAGUACCUGGAGAAUAAGCUCCGGCUAACUCCGUG